UACGGGGGGGGUAAGCGUUGUUCGGAAUUACUGGGCGUAAAGGGCUCGUAGGCGGCCAACUAAGUCAUACGUGAAAUCCCUCAGCUUAACUGGGGAACUGCGUGUGAUACUGGAUGGCUUGGAUUUGGGAGAGGGAUGCGGAAUUCCAGGUGUAGCGGUGAAAUGCGUAGAUAUCCGGAGGAACACCAGUGGCGAAGGCGACACGCUGGGCCGUACCUGACACUGAUGCGCGACAGCAUGGGGAGCAAACAGG
rnacentral:rRNA from 1 species